AUACGUAGGGAGCGAGCGUUGUCCGGAAUUACUGGGUGUAAAGGGAGCGUAGGCGGGAGUGCAAGUCAGAUGUGAAAUACAUGGGCUCAACCCAUGGGCUGCAUUUGAAACUGCAUUUCUUGAGUGAAGUAGAGGUAAGCGGAAUUCCUGGUGUAGCGGUGAAAUGCGUAGAUAUCAGGAGGAACACCGGUGGCGAAGGCGGCUUACUGGGCUUUUACUGACGCUGAGGCUCGAAAGCGUGGGGAGCAAACAGGAUUAGAUACCCUGGUAGUCCACGCUGUAAACGAUGAUUACUAGGUGUGGGGGGACUGACCCCUUCCGUGCCGCAGUUAACACAAUAAGUAAUCCACCUGGGGAGUACGGCCGCAAGGUUGCAACUCAAAUGAAUUGGCGGGG
rnacentral:rRNA from 1 species